GAAAAUUUAGUUAAAAUCAUAACAUUGGCUUGUCAGCCCAAAAUUAUAAAAAUUAUAAUUUUCU
rnacentral:tRNA from 1 species